AGCCAUCCCAGACACGUCUGUUCCUCAGCCAAGCUGCAGUCCUGAUGCAGAUGUAGCCAAAAGCUCCUGGGUCCUAAAUAUGGCCACAGGGUCCACUGCCUGUCCCCAUUAACCCUAUCCACCCAUGUGUUCCUCCAUCUCAACAGUGCUGGCCUGUGGGCGGCCCCAAGCAACAGCAGUGUACAAGGUGUCAGAGUAUGCACGGCGCUUUGGUGUUCCGGUCAUUGCUGAUGGAGGAAUCCAAAAUGUGGGUCAUAUUGCGAAAGCCUUGGCCCUUGGGGCCUCCACAGUCAUGAUGGGCUCUCUCCUGGCUGCCACCACUGAGGCCCCUGGUGAAUACUUCUUUUCCGAUGGGAUCCGGCUAAAGAAAUAUCGCGGUAUGGGUUCUCUCGAUGCCAUGGACAAGCACCUCAGCAGCCAGAACAGAUAUUUCAGGUGGGACAGGCAAGCCAGUUACCCCACCCUAAUCCUGCACUGACAGUCUCAUCUCUGCUGUGACCUUGCCCGUGUCUCUGCCUCUCCCUGCAGUGAAGCUGACAAAAUCAAAGUGGCCCAGGGAGUGUCUGGUGCUGUGCAGGACAAAGGGUCAAUCCACAAAUUUGUCCCUUACCUGAUUGCUGGCAUCCAACACUCAUGCCAGGACAUUGGUGCCAAGAGCUUGACCCAAGUCCGGUGAGCUUGGGGAGCUGGGACAUGGGUAGAGGGGCUGGUCCAGGGCCAGCUACCCACAUUUGACCUCUGCCCUUCUUCAGAGCCAUGAUGUACUCUGGGGAGCUUAAGUUUGAGAAGAGAACGUCCUCAGCCCAGGUGGAAGGUGGCGUCCAUAGCCUCCAUUCGUAA
rnacentral:sRNA from 1 species